CCUCUACAGAACUGAGUUGCUGCUAAUGAGGGAAGUCAACUUUUUGUCUGGGGUAUGUUUUAGCAGGGACACAUCUAAAAGUUGCAGUCUGGAGGACUGCACUUGGGCAUUCCUGAUUUAUACCAUCAAUGUGGCCCAUUGAGGGUGGCCAAUAUACUGAAGUGGCUCUAGGUGAAAUUGAGUUUGACACCCCUGUUCAAAACAUCCAG